UACAGAGGGGGCAAGCGUUGUUCGGAAUUACUGGGCGUAAAGGGCGCGUAGGCGGCCUUCUAAGUCGAACGUGAAAUCCCCGGGCUCAACCCGGGAACUGCGUCCGAGACUGGAAGGCUUGAAUCCGGGAGAGGGAUGUGGAAUUCCAGGUGUAGCGGUGAAAUGCGUAGAUAUCUGGAGGAACAUCGGUGGCGAAGGCGGCAUCCUGGACCGGUAUUGACGCUGAGGCGCGAAAGCCAGGGGAGCAACGGGAU
rnacentral:rRNA from 1 species